GUGCCAGCCGCGGCGGUAAUACGGAGGGUGCAAGCGUUAAUCGGAAUUACUGGGCGUAAAGCGCACGCAGGCGGUCUGUCAAGUCGGAUGUGAAAUCCCCGGGCUCAACCCGGGAACUGCAUUCGAAACUGGCAGGCUGGAGUCUCGUAGAGGGGGGUAGAAUUCCAGGUGUAGCGGUGAAAUGCGUAGAGAUCUGGAGGAAUACCGGUGGCGAAGGCGGCCCCCUGGACGAAGACUGACGCUCAGGUGCGAAAGCGUGGGGAGCAAACAGGAUUAGAUACCCUGGUAGUCCACGCCGUAAACGAUGUCUAUUUGGAGGUUGUGCCCUUGAGGCGUGCUUCCGGAGCUAACGCGUUAAAUAGACCGCCUGGGGAGUACGGCCGCAAGGUUAAAACUCAAAUGAAUUGACGGGGGCCCGCACAAGCGGUGGAGCAUGUGGUUUAAUUCGAUGCAACGCGAAGAACCUUACCUGGUCUUGACAUCCACAGAAGUUUUCAGAGAUGAGAAUGUGCCUUCGGGAACUGUGAGACAGGUG
rnacentral:rRNA from 1 species